rnacentral:rRNA from 1 species
GCGGCUUGCCGUUAAACCCCUAUAUUUCUAGUGGUUGACCUCGGAUUAGGUAGGAAUACCCGCUGAACUUAAGCAUAUCAAUAAGCGGAGGAAAAGAAACCAACAGGGAUUGCCCUAGUAACGGCGAGUGAAGCGGCAACAGCUCAAAUUUGAAAUCUGGCCCUAGCGGUCCGAGUUGUAAUUUGUAGAGGAUGCUUUUGGUUAGGUGCCUUCUGAGUUCCCUGGAACGGGACGCCAGAGAGGGUGAGAGCCCCGUACGGUUGGACACCGAGCCUCUAUAUAGCUCCUUCGACGAGUCGAGUAGUUUGGGAAUGCUGCUCUAAAUGGGAGGUAAAUUUCUUCUAAAGCUAAAUACCGGCCAGAGACCGAUAGCGCACAAGUAGAGUGAUCGAAAGAUGAAAAGUACUUUGAAAAGAGGGUUAAAUAGCACGUGAAAUUGUUGAAAGGGAAGCGUUUGCGACCAGACUUUUUCCAGGCGGAUCAUCCUGUGUUCUCACCGGUGCACUUCGCCUGGUUUAGGCCAGCAUCGGUUCUCUUAGGGGGAUAAAGGCCUGGGGAACGUAGCUCCUUCGGGAGUGUUAUAGCCCCUAGCGUAAUACCCUUCGGGGGACCGAGGAACGCGCA